rnacentral:lncRNA from 1 species
GGAACGAUGACGGUAUCUGAGUAUGCCGCAAAAUUCAACGAAUUGGCGAGGUUUGCGCUAUAUCAGGUCAGCACAGACGAGCGUAAGGCGAAGAGAUUUGAACAGGGACUGAAACCCUGGCUGUACAGUAGGGUUUUCCUGUUCCAAUUCAAGAGGUUUGCAGCAGUGAUGGAGAAGGCAGUACUCGCUGAAGGUGGAGGCAAGGC